GCCCGCCUAGCUCAAUCGGCCAGAGCGUCAGACUUUUACGGCCAGUAUAACUAUCUGAAGGCUGCGAGUUCGACCCUCGCGGUGGGCU
rnacentral:tRNA from 1 species